UACGUAGGUGGCAAGCGUUGUCCGGAAUUAUUGGGCGUAAAGCGCGCGUAGGCGGCCUUUUAAGUCUGAUGUGAAAGCCCCCGGCUCAACCGGGGAGGGGCAUUGGAAACUGGAAGGCUUGAGUGCAGAAGAGAAGAGCGGAAUUCCACGUGUAGCGGUGAAAUGCGUAGAGAUGUGGAGGAACACCAGUGGCGAAGGCGGCUCUGUGGUCUGUAACUGACGCUGAGGCGCGAAAGCGUGGGGAGCAAACAGG
rnacentral:rRNA from 1 species